UCCCACUGUGGCACAGAAUUGUAUACUGUAAGCACACAGCACUGUGAAAGAAAUAUCACUCCAAAAUUUGUCAAAAUAAAUACAUUGAUUGUGCAGAACACGUUUAUAGUUUCUGUAUUGAAAACCUGUAAACUUUUAGCUAUCUUAAUAACACUGGAUAACAAACAAGCAGGAUAUUGCUACUUUUACUUAAGACAAAGAUCUUAGUAUCUCCCCCACCACUGUUCAAAAACAUAAAGUGGCAGACAUGGCCUAAUGUUCUUACUAUAUAAUGAUGAAAACUCUGUAUCUGUGUGUGUGUGUGUGUGUGUGUGUGUGUGUGUGUGUGUGUGUGUGUGUGUGUGUGUGUGUGUGUGUGUCUGUUCCACGUUUUUCUCCUCACUGACUUGGUCAAUCCAUGUGAAAUUUGGCACAGUGGUAGAGGGUCAUGGGAGGAUGCGAAUGAAGCAAUAUUACAUCAAUUGGCCAAAGGGGGGCGCUAUAGCAACCGAUUGAAAUUGCAAACUUUGAAUGGGCAUAUCUCAUGCCCCGUAUGUUGUAGAGACAUGAAACUUUGCACAGAGAUGCCUCUCCUCAUGAGGAACACAUUUGCCUCAAGAACCCAUAACUUCUGGUUAUAUAGAUUUUCUGCCAUUUUCAAUUUUUUGAAAAACACUUAAAAUCGAUCUCUUCCUAGGAAGUUUGACUGAUCUGUAUGAAACUCAGUGAACAUAAUCUAGGGACCAAUAUCUAAAGUUCUCUCUUGGCAAAAGUUGGAAAACUUACUAAAACUGAGCUUCUAUAAGGCAAUGACUAUUGCCGAGGGUUUGGCUCAUCACAUAAAGGUGUAUAACAUCUCAAGGGUUUCACCGAUCACCACGCAACUUUGUAGGCAUUAUGACCACACAUAGUCUGAGGGAACCCCUCCAUUAUUGACCCCAUCAAACAAAAUGGGGGCGCUAGAGAGCUAAUUUCUUAUCUAGGCCUAACCGCCCUAUGAUUUUUACUAAACUUGGUAGAUAUAUAGAACAGGACGCCUCAAGGUGACUGGAGAAAUUUAACUCUAAUUGGCAACUAGGUGGCGCUAUAACAACAGAAAAAUGCUUAAAAAUGGCUAAAAUGCGACCGAUCGCUGUGGCUCCCCCUGUGGCCCAAUGUUGGGUUUUUUUCCCCUAAUUUUUGGUAUGGCUAAGUCAUGGUAUGGUAUGCUGCUGCAACAAGGGCUAGCCGCACCUUUCCCAUGUGAACUACCAGUGCGCCCCACUUUUAAGUCAAUACAACAUAUAAACACUUUAACUAUCUGCCUUUCAACGUGCUACCUCAACUACUAAUGUACAGUUUUAGCCCACUAACUAUCCCACUAUUGGCAAUGGUACUACUGUACUUUCAAUAAAGCAACCAUACUAUCAAAUUCACAAAAGCUCUGUCUGAAUACAUUGCUCUUCUUAAUGGGUUCAGUUGACUAUUUAAUCUGCAAUUUCCUAUGGCCUGUAUCCCAAACACACACCAUGUGAAACUGCAUGUGGGCAGCUGUGCACUCAAUGGGUAUGGACUAGUGAGUAAUUGUUUGUGAAGUGUUGCAGUGUGCUAAAACCCGCCCUGUCUAGCAGCCGCACAAAAAGGGUUGAAACACAAAAACUCCACAUUGAACCAGAGCGAUACAGCUGUUCCCAGAGUACUACGUGAGAGAGAAUUAAGAUGGUUGGGUCUAAUCACCUUGUAGUCACAAUGGUCACUGCUAGUACCCUGACUUUUCUAGGAACAGGGCCAGUGGGAUGGGCAAUAGUAGUGGGAGUGGCAGCGGGAGCAACAGUGGUGCUGGAAGUGACAAAGAAACGUCGUGGAAAAGGACGGCUGACGAAGGAAAGGCUGAAAGGCAUUGAUGAAAUCAUGACUAAUAAAAACAAUGAUGGCAGACAAA